GACGAACGCUGGCGGCGUGCCUAAUACAUGCAAGUAGAACGCUGAGGACUUUAGCUUGCUAAAGUUGGAAGAGUUGCGAACGGGUGAGUAACGCGUAGGUAACCUGCCUACUAGCGGGGGAUAACUAUUGGAAACGAUAGCUAAUACCGCAUAACAGCAUUUAACCCAUGUUAGAUGCUUGAAAGGAGCAAUUGCUUCACUAGUAGAUGGACCUGCGUUGUAUUAGCUAGUUGGUGAGGUAACGGCUCACCAAGGCGACGAUACAUAGCCGACCUGAGAGGGUGAUCGGCCACACUGGGACUGAGACACGGCCCAGACUCCUACGGGAGGCAGCAGUAGGGAAUCUUCGGCAAUGGGGGCAACCCUGACCGAGCAACGCCGCGUGAGUGAAGAAGGUUUUCGGAUCGUAAAGCUCUGUUGUAAGAGAAGAACGUGUGUGAGAGUGGAAAGUUCACACAGUGACGGUA
rnacentral:rRNA from 1 species